ensembl:lncRNA
AGGUGGAAAGCAGGGAGGCAGCACUCAUUUGGUGUUCCAGGAGAGCAUUCUAUAUCUAUAUAACUUCUAUAUGGAGGUUGCUUACAACAACUAAUACAAUAAAGUUCCUUUUGUCUACCUAAAGUGGCAAAUUUAUGACACUGCUUGUGCUUUCUUGCUUUUUUCAACUGCAAGGCAAGGAGAGAAACAUGGGGAGAGAGACUGGGAGGCUACAAGAGAAACAGGUAGCAGUCAAGACCAAAAUACAAGGCAGCCUCAGACAUAAACCAGAUUCAUUUGUCUCUUGCACACAAUGACCCCUUGGUGAGAGGAAAUUCACUGCUGCCAGUGAGUUACAGGCAUCAGAAGCCAGGACCUCAAAAUAUCCAUUAGUACAUUAUUGGCAAGCUGGAUCCCAAAAUAGCUUUGCCUUUGAGAAAGAUUAGGUUGGCUUGCUCUUAGUCUCUACCUCUUGGCUGUUGAAAUCAUGGACUGUGACUACGUCCUGCGGAGUUGCUAGUGUCUGGAGCCUGAUUUCCAGAGAAACUGUGCCUUACUGGGAUGUAUAUUUUGCCAAAAGUUGGGUUUUUCCCUCUUUGUAAAGUCUUGGUAAUAUUCAAGUACCCAAGGCAAGCACAGGUACUAAGUUACACUUUUACUAGGGAUGUCCAAUAGUUAUUCUGAUAUAAAUUGUGAAUUACAUUACCAAAUCACUGCUUGCCCAGUGCUCUAGGGAUCUAACACGCCACAUAAACAUCAGGUAUCCUAAAUUAUCAUGGUCAAUUGGUGACAUCCUCCACCUUGUCCGUUGCUGGCAGCGCUAUCCAGUUUCACAGGCAGUACUGAGGCCCUCAGGGACAGAAUGACCACAGCUGUGUAAAUGGCAUCACCAGGGUAAAUACGUAAACACACAACAUGAAGAGGUGGUCACACCUGAUACUUUCAAUACCAGAAAAUAGUUAGUAGCUCUGCUAUGACCUAGUCAUUCAAAAAUGAGUCAUUGCCGAUCUCUUGAACUUGGAGAGCUUGUGAGUUUAUGCGGAAGAUUUACCUCGUUUUGCAGUAGAAUGCCUUUUAAUAUUUGUCUGCGUGGUUAUAAGAAAUGGAGGGUGUAGGAUGCCUCUUGGUGUGAAAAAUUACGCUAGAGUAUUUGGAGGUGCAGUAGUUAAACUGAUUUUAGUUACAUCAUUUCCAGUGAUAGUUUCUAUCUGAUUCUGCCUACAGUAUGAACUUUCAGCACGAGGAUAAACAGGUUUGUUGUUUUGUUUUUGUCUCUCAGUCUCAUUUAUUUAAUGCUGUAUACUGUUCAAGCCCACAAGUUCUGAUCAGCGUGCGUUUGUAUGUGUCUGGCACCAUGCAGUCCAAAUCUCCCCUGCUGCCUCCAAAAGAUACUCAAAUAGAUUUAUGUUUCUUGCAUUAAAAUGCAUGUCUCUUAUACUGUGAUGUUUUUAAACAUUAUAUGAUUACCCUCCUACUGUAUUUCGUCUACCCUAUUUUAAAGGGUAUCUUUUUCUGAAACCUUGCUUGGCAGAACACUAACUACUCUCUGGUAAUCUAAGAGAAUGGUUCGCUUACUGAAGCAAAAUUAUCCACUUACUUAAACACUUCUUUAGCAAAGCCAUGGCUCAGAAGCACUGAACAGGAUCAAGGUCUAAGCAACAGGAUUCUUUUUAUGCUUUAAUUAUCAUUGUCUUGAAAGGGAGAGAGGAUUAUACUUUACCAAACAGGAAAACUAGCAAUUUUAAGAAAACUGUACCACAGAAAUUUCAUGACAGCAUGUUUCAGAGUGGGAUUUAACCUACUUUGUACCUGUGCAGGCUGAAAUGCAUCUCUGCUUUUGUCUUGAACUUAGACUUCUUUCAACCAUCACUUGUCACAUAUCAGGUGGCUCUUCUAGGAAGAGCUAAAGAGAUUACUCCAGGGCAGAAUCGAGGAUCGACUCCUGUCUAUCUGUGGCCUGCCACUACUAGAGGCAAUGGGACCAUGGGGUGCACAGCAGGGAGGUAUGCCAGAGAAGCUGCCGUAGUGCAGGGCUCGCACUGGGGAGCAUCGUCUGGCUCCCCCUGGAGACGCGUCCUGGGGAGCUCCCACUGGCAACUGGUGUUGGCAGGGUGAACUCAGCUGCAUGGUUGGUUCAGGGGCUGCUCCUGAGCAGCUGCACAAACCCAACCAGUGAACUCCUUAUGAGCAGAUGUUUCAAGUGCAUACUUCAGCUAGAUUUUUCCCUAGAUCAUUUUACUAUUUGUCUGACCCUGAGGAACUUCUAGUAUUUGUACUAGUCAUUGGCAAAACUCCCAUGGACUUCAGUGCAAGUUAAAUUUGGCUGCAGAGACAUGUCAUUUAGUCUGUGUGACGGUUUUUGGUCUCUCAUUAGCAUUUGCUGCUCACUGCUAUACAAAACAAAAUGACAAGUUUCUAAAAAGAAAGAUUAUUCUUUUGCCUGUGUGUUUUCUAGCCACAUGAGUAACAAAUAGACAUGGUAAUUUCACUGCUUGCAAGUAAGCAUCUGGAGCUUCUUGAAAAUCAUCUUUAAGAGGCACCACGAGAACCUGCAGGGCUCAUUAACUGGGACCCAUGUGCUAAUUCCAUGACUAAGCUGUGUUGAAGUGACUCAGAGACAACCACAAAGUGACACUCGGUGGCUUAGCAUCUCUCAGGUCAGCGCAUGCCCCAGCUCCAUUUCUUUGUGUGGAUGUGCCCCAGAGCAUCUGUAAUCCAUGCUAGGAAUUAACUUGGUGUCGGCAUAAAGAACCACAAACAAAACCUCUGCCCAUUUUGCAGCAGUGGCGGAAAGAGCUGAUGUAUGUCAGAAAACAAAAAGGGGAUUGAGUAUGAAAUAUGCUCUGUGUCAUUUCCUAAUCCAGGGAGAGUUUCUUACGCAUUCUUUAUGCUUGCCUAUUUUGAGAGGACAGAACGGUAUUGGAGGUAAUUCCAAAGGAUAGUUAGAGGCAAAGCAAAAUUCCCCUUUAAGGGUGCUCGAAAAGUUUGGGACCAUUUUCUUAGACUGAAUAGAAAAGUUUGAAUAAAAAGAAAGAAGACUAAAAGCACAUAAAAUGACCCAGGCAGAGAAAACGAAUCAGAAAGUUGCAUUCAUUUUCUCUCUCAGUAAGUGCAGGUGGAGGAAUGAAAAAAAAAAGCCAUUAAAAAAUGUACAUUUUCACCAUAUGCACAGCUAACCUAUGUUGCCAUUAAAGCAGGCACCUCUUAUGGCAGAAAUGCAAGUUAUGUAUGCUUACAGCUUACAGCAGUUUCCAGAGUUGGAAGAGUACAAGAAAGCUGGGCCCAAAUCCUAAUCUUAGCUGGUGGGGAUAUAGCUAUAACGGUGGGUGUGAGAGGUGUGGGUUCAAUUUCCUUCUCUACCCUGUAAUCUCGGUUUGGUCACAGAGGGAGGAAAGACAAUAGUUGGCCAGAUGCUGAAACUCGGUUUGGAAACCUGACUCCCAUAAGAAGUCUCUGGAAUUACAGAGUUCAAUGGCUUUAAAACAUGGGUCUCUCUGUGCCACUGCUCUCCAGCUACAAAGUGGGAACAAUGGCAUUGCACUCCAUCCAGAAAAUAUAAAAAGGGCAAUCCAUCAAUGUGCACAGGUACAUAGUCCUGUGACCAAGAAUAGGAGAAACAUUAUAUUCAGAACAAAUUAACUCAUGUUCCUACUUCUGGGUUUUUUUGUUGUUUGGUGGUUGGGUUUUUUCCUCUCUCCUUCCCCCAAAGUACAUGAUACUGCUGACUGCUAUCAAGGUCUAGCUGGGCUUGUGCUGCAGCAGCAGUCCUGAUGCUGGAGGAGAUUAUUCUAACGCCAGAGAGUCAGGAGGGCAGAAUCAGUGCUUGGCUGAGUCUUGUCUGUGACUCAGCAUUCCCCUCCUCUUCCUGUGUUCUCUAAACUCAGGGACCGAACCUAUAUCCAUACUUUUUCUCCAGCACGGUCCUUCAAUAACAAAGCGUCAGAAAGGGUAGCAAAAGUGAUGGCAAAAUGAACCUAGGAACCAACUGUUGUCAACAGUGUGUUGGUCCUUUACUUCCAUACAUUGAUACAGUACUGAAACUGUAAGUCCCAGCAUGCAGUAUCACAUCUUCAUCAAAAUGGAAUAUUGGUUGCCUAGCAAUUUAAAAUCUUGGUAAUAAAAUAUCUAUAUUUAUGAUUUCAUGAGCAAACAUUAUCUGAUUUGGUAUUGCUGUCCCCCGUAAAUUAAGUUUGAGGCAUUUGAUAUAGCAAAAUUCUGGACUCAGUGGAUUCAGAACACUAAAAGCUACUAGAUUCACAACAGAAGAGAGAAAAGGGAAUUCAGCAUUUUUUGACUGUAUUCUGCAGUACAUACUGGUAUAUAAAUCACACGGCAAAUAUCAGAAGAUGCAGUUUGGCAUUAUGUCUGACCAUGCUUGAAUAAUUAGGUCAGUCUUAUUUGUUGUUGUUCCAAUCUCUCCUACAAAUACUAGCUUCCUUGUUUUAUUCUGAUUCACUCAGGCCCCACAACCAUCUGCGAUUUGGCAGCUUCUACUGAGUUAGAAAAUGUCAGCAGGAGAGGGGAGGGGUGGUAAAGAGAAGAGACAGAAACUUUUCUAGCCAUCAGCUUGCCUGCCUUUUCAGCGUGCUUUGUGUGAGCUCUGCUGGCAUCACCUACAACUCCUUUCUUUCAUUAGAACAUCUGAUUCUUCUAAUUGUGGCUGUCCAGUGCUUGAUUAAAGACGUGUUUUUAACUGAGAAGAAUGUAAUUGAAUGUGAGAGUUGUAUGGAUCCAAGACCUUAAUCAGGGGCAGGAGAAUGAAUUAUUGCAGAUUUGGAACCUGCUGCAUGGAGUCUAUUAAAUCACACUGACAGUCACAGACCAGUCCAGUUUUGAAUCCAAUAUCCCUUAUAUGGUAAAUUCAGCAAUAUUUGAAUAAUUUUGUCCAUUGCCUUGAUAAUAAUAAGUUCUUUUGAUGACAGUCUGCAAGACUGUCAGCUGGCCUUUGGGAUACCCACAUUUUCCCAGAACUAGGACUAACAGCAAGUUUUGCCAAAGUGUAAUUUGGAGAGAUUUGUUAAUCAAAGAAAAGAGUUCUCUUUGCACCAGUUCAGGUCCUUCUUUCACAGUUCCUUGCGUUAGAAAUGUUAGCUGAAAACUUAUCUUAAGUACACAGGGCAUGAUCCAAGAUGGAAAAGACUUCUAAUAAUUUCAGUGGAUUUUGGAUUCUACUAUUCCUUCUGCACUGAAAGGGAGUUCCUAUUGUCUCUCUGCAUUGACUAACAUACUCUAAACAGACCGGUCAGCCAAAGAAAGUAUUAUUAUAACCAUUACUUUGCACAAAGGGAACCAAAGCCAAGGCCCACAGAACUGUGCAAGUGCCUCAAUCACUUCAGUAGAAAUUAGCAAGCACUAUUGAGAAUCUCACCCAGUGGUUUGAGCAUGAUCAGCUAAGGUGUGUCCUGGCAGAUCAAAAACACUGAGCACUGAAGUCCCCGUCCCAUGAUCCAUCUUGCUUCUGUUCUCUGGAUUAAGACCCAACAGAUGAACAAGAACAGAUGAACAAGAACAAGAACAGUAAACAUGCAGUUGUUAGACCAGAAAUGUACAUAAAAGGAUGAACCUCUGUAGAACAUAUGUCAAUUUUGAAAAGAGCUUCUUAAGAUUGUGAAUGCAGAUUUACAGAAUUACUUACUCAAUCGCUACAUCAUUUGCUGGUUAGAAUAAGCUUGACAGGGUCACUUGAGAUAGUGACCCUGCUGUGGAAUGAAUCAUGCAAGUCCCCCUCCCACUUCAAUGCAACAUAAGCUAAGUUUUCCCUUCCCCAGCAUUAGGUGAACUGACAUCAGUCUGAGAAUUUGGCUUGUAAGGCAGUGGAGGUUUCACUCUUUCCCUCUUGAAAGGUCAGCUAAAAAGAGCACGGCGCAUCUUACAUUGCUACAGUAAUUUCUGCUCUGCUCUUCUGCUUCAUUUCCUUCCUCCCACUAUCCCUCAGAAAGUCAAGAGUUCCCUGCUAUUUCUUUUUCUGCUUCAUUUUCCUUCACUUCAAAAAUAGGAAUGUUAAUGCUUGCUCCACAGGGCUGCAGAAAACACAACUAGAAGAUAAACAUGUAGCAGUGCAGUGCUUUAAGAUUUAACAUCUCAUAUCUAGUGUGCUUUCACACUGUAAGCUGCCUGUGGAGAGAAUAGUGGUCUUUCCAAGCCCCAGAUUCAUGACUUAGCUGGAUCACAGUCAUUUAUUCUACCUCCAAACAAAGUGUAACAAUCAGAAGUUCCUCUUGUGUGAUAUCAUUAAAGACUUGAAGAUUAAGACCUGUCUGAAGUGAUGGAUGUGGACGAAUGCCCUCUCCUCUUGAUCCAACCGGAAGCUCAAAGCCGUGUGCGUGUUGAAAACGAAAUUCUCUGUGUCUCUGACAAAGAAAUUCUAGAAUAGCAUUUCCUUAUUCCUGAUGCGCUGCAGCUAGCCUUAUCAGUAACUCAGUCAACUGUGGGUAACAUCAUUGUUAUGAAAAACAGUUUUAACCAGCAGUGACUAAGUGUGUGCACAGAGCAUUUCAGAAAAAGUACAAGUGAGGCUGCUGGGUUUUUAAAUUGUGUUUAGGAAAAGAAAUGCUGCAAGAUUCACCCUUUGGCAAACUUGCUAUGGGUGCCAAGAGAAACCUUUUUAAUUCCUGCCUUUCCUGGUCAGUAGUAACAGCAAGGAGCUCUGGAACAAAGAUGAUUACUAAGGACAUUAGUGUCCACUUGUUGAACAGAGCUGAUUUCAGUUCAGCUCUGCCAGUUGUUGCUCUUUCAGGAAACUGGGUGCAAACCUGGGAAUCCAGCUACGAACAUGAACAUGUCCCUCUACUGCUCCUCAGUACAAGGGGAGGAGACCACUCUUUUUGCACAGACUUCUAAGGCAAUAAGUCAUCACUGCCAAAGCCUGUGCAGCAAAGCUGGCAUCUGCUUCCUUGUCUUAGCAGAGAUGUCGCACAUGCGGCUGGAGCUUGGACUUUUCUCUGUGGUUUUUUUUCUGUUGGAUUUGUUGUUGCUGUUCUUUCUCCUGUGGGUGUUGGGGUUCAAUGGCUUUUUUUUUUAAUGGUUGGCCUUACAGGCUAGAGUGGAGAUCACCACUGUGAAUUAUUAGGAGGAAAUUUUGAGCCGCACAAAGUGCUUUGAGAUCCAUUAUAGUCUCUGCACGCUGAUAAUACUUACACAUGGAUGUGUAAUUUUAAGUUUCUCUCUGCAGCCAUUCAAAAUUCAAACUCUGUAGGAGGUACCAGGACUGACAGAUUAUUUUGAGAUUUGGUUCUGGAUGUUAGGGAGGUUCAAGCAGCAAUUAGAAUAAACCAAAAGCCUGGAUUUGAUGACUCAGUUCUUCUCCAGCUUUUGAUAAAUUCCAUUCUGACACAGUUUACAUUUGACCCCUGUGUGCCAAGUGAAUGAACUGAAUCCGAUUGUCUUGAAUUUGAGAAGUCUUCAAUCUUAUACAAAGCCUUUUUUCUUACAGACUGUCUUUCUCCAAAUCACAGGAAAAUGUAGGUGGAGAAAAAUACGAAUAUACUAAAACUAGCCCUGGAAAAACAGCUGCAAACCUAUAAUGUUUGAACAGAAUAGCAUGAGAAAGGAUUAGGACUACUUUAGCUGAAGUGAAUUAUAAAUGACUUGGUCCAGCUCCCUACCCUAAAUGUCUUAAUAUAUCCUUUCCCUAGGACUUUGGUUGGGAUCCCAAGUCCAGUGUAACACCACUGUUUAGUUAAGAAUGAUUGUAACCGUAUACAGGUCCCACUGUUGCUGUUUCCAUAUAGUGCAGUGACAGCACAAAAGCAAGAAGGAAGCAGUAAAAAAAAUUAAUCAGUGCAUACAUAUACUUAAUGUGUAGUGUGUGUAUAGACAUAAAAGGAAAGCAGGCACUCUGAAUUAGUGACAUUGAUUUUCUCAAAUGCAGAUCACAGCGAUGCCGUCUCCAGUAUUACAUCAGCCUGGUUCUCCCAGACAUAUUUAAAUGUAUACCUCCUAUGAAACACAGCAGUCUAGACCAAAAGACAUAUGGGCUGGCACUGAAUGGCAUCCUAGGAAAAACAGAUUAUCUAACAACACGUAACUAUUCACAGGCGGCUGUAAAAGCAGCAUAGUGCUACUUAAAUCACCAGACUGCAACAUUUCUGAAUGUUGCAAAUUACUUUCAUCAUCCACUUUGCACUCACUACAACAGAAACAAGUUGGUUUAUUUCCCAGAGCCAAGCUUAAAGAGACAAUUCAGUUCUAAAAACCUUGGUGGGCUGACUGCAGAUCACUUUGGCUGGAGAUUUUAAAACAGUUUUCAAUUCUUUCUGGCCCUUUUUACAUCUAGUUCAGCUUUUGGCUAACUUCCAACAGAGAAUGUGGAUUUCUUCACUUUCUGUCCAAACUGCUGUGAAAUUUUGCUAUAAAAUGAAUUAAAAUUGCAGAAACCCAUCCAAAAGGUUGUUGUGGGAGGGACAGACUCCUGCAUAGAAGAGGCAAAAGCUUUCUCCACAACUACAACAGCAAAAAAACCUCCUGUAAAAUUAUUCAGCCCUAAACUGGCUGCUUUAGUGCUUGUUGCAGAAAGACUGCAAAAGGCACCUUUCCCUGCCUUCUCAGAGCUGGUCCAUGGAAACAUCAUGUGCUGUGCAGGUCUGGAGACCCACAGAAAUGAAGCUGGAAGGUGAAGAGAAGCUUCCAGGCAGCUAUUUUUACCAGGCCUAUUUCUCUUCUCCUUGGGUGGUUGAAACUUAACCUCCUGAUGGGAGAGGAAAGGAAGGAGUAAAACUACAGAGAGAAGAAAUGGAAAGUCAGCUUUUCUGCAGGGUCAAUACUGUUUUAUCUUCAGCUGUCGAAGUCUCAUACCCAUGUACAGGGAGACCAGCACCAGUCGUUUUGCAGUGUGUAAGAUAGAGGAUUUUUCUGACUAUCUCUAUUUUCACUUUUUUUUAUUUCUUUUCUUCUCUUUUUAUGCAGUACAAGAGACAAAAUCAGAAUAGGAGCUGUAAGGUAGGCUAAUAAUAUAUGGAAGGAAAAGGUGAGAUGCAUAAGCACAUUUCUAUUUUUUCUUUUCAUUGUAAGAUUUUAUUGCAUUUAUUUAUAUGAAAACGGGCUUUCAGAAACUGCUCGAUCCCAUCAAGUCACAUGCUGUUUUUAAUGUAAAGCACUGCAGUACUGUCCUUUGGGAGGAGUCUGUCUGCAUACAAUAUUAGACAUAAUUUUUCUGUAUGUACUUUGUAUCUGACUGCGGUGCUCAUAUGCAGAGUAAAUGGUGUCUUACAGCAAAAACAGCU